UGCAGUCGAGCGGCAGCGGAAGUAGCUUGCUACUUUGCCGGCGAGCGGCGGACGGGUGAGUAAUGUCUGGGAAACUGCCUGAUGGAGGGGGAUAACUACUGGAAACGGUAGCUAAUACCGCAUGACCUCGAAAGAGCAAAGUGGGGGACCUUCGGGCCUCACGCCAUCGGAUGUGCCCAGAUGGGAUUAGCUAGUAGGUGAGGUAAUGGCUCACCUAGGCGACGAUCCCUAGCUGGUCUGAGAGGAUGACCAGCCACACUGGAACUGAGACACGGUCCAGACUCCUACGGGAGGCAGCAGUGGGGAAUAUUGCACAAUGGGCGCAAGCCUGAUGCAGCCAUGCCGCGUGUGUGAAGAAGGCCUUCGGGUUGUAAAGCACUUUCAGCGAGGAGGAAGGCGUUAAGGUUAAUAACCUUAGCGAUUGACGUUACUCGCAGAAGAAGCACCGGCUAACUCCGUGCCAG
rnacentral:rRNA from 1 species